rnacentral:rRNA from 1 species
GAUGAACGCUGGCGGCGUGCCUAAUACAUGCAAGUCGAGCGAACGGACGAGAAGCUUGCUUCUCUGAUGUUAGCGGCGGACGGGUGAGUAAAACGUGGAUAACCUACCUAUAAGACUGGGAUAACUUCGGGAAACCGGAGCUAAUACCGGAUAAUAUUUUGAACCGCAUGGUUCAAAAGUGAAAGACGGUCUUGCUGUCACUUAUAGAUGGAUCCGCGCUGCAUUAGCUAGUUGGUAAGGUAACGGCUUACCAGGGCAACGAUGCAUAGCCGACCUGAGAGGGUGAUCGGCCACACUGGAACUGAGACACGGUCCAGACUCCUACGGGAGGCAGCAGUAGGGAAUCUUCCGCAAUGGGCGAAAGCCUGACGGAGCAACGCCGCGUGAGUGAUGAAGGUCUUCGGAUCGUAAAACUCUGUUAUUAGGGAAGAACAUAUGUGUAAGUAACUGUGCACAUCUUGACGGUACCUAAUCAGAAAGCCACGGCUAACUACGUG